rnacentral:lncRNA from 1 species
UAAUGGUGGUACAUGUUUGUGAGCCCAGUACUCACAGGCAUAGACAGGUGGAUUCCUGGGGCUUGCUGGCUGGCCAGCAUAGCCUAAUUAGUGAGUGUAAAGGCUCUAAGAACCUGCUUCAGAAUAUGAAUAGUGGCCUUUAAUCCUAGCAUUUGGGAGUCAGAAGCAGGGGGAUUUCUGUAGUUUGAGGCCAGUCUGAUCUUCAUAGGAAAUUCCAGGCCAGUUAGGGCUACAACAUAAGACCCUUGUUUCAAAAAAGAAAAAGAAAAAGGAAAGAAAAGGUGUGCAUCAUACUUUUCUUUUUUAGUUAAUUAAUUGAAUGUUUAUGGGUGCUUUGUCUUCAUUUUAUGUGUAUGUACCACAUGCAUGCUUGGAGUUACAGCUAGUUGUGAGCCACCAUGUGGGUGCUGGCAGCCUUUACUUUUACUCUGGAUCUGUAUGUAGUUUAAUAUAAUCACUCAGAGACCCUAAAUUCAUUUUACAAGAAUAUCACAAGAGAAGCCUAAAUCUGACUAUGUGAAAAAUGAGUUUCCAGGCAUCAGUGGACUGGGCUUUUAAAAUUCCUUUUCAGGUUAUCUAAAGAGGAAAAUUAAUUUCAGUUUGUCUUACAAUGUAUACAAAUAAUGCCAUUUUUUAAAUGAAUCCUUGCUUUAUAGAACCAUUUCACAAGCCUAUAUAGUAAUGUAUAGAAAUAUCUUGUACAGGAGAGAUCCAGAUGUAGUUAGGCUAUGGUAAAACCUACUAGUCUGUGGCAUUUGGGGUUUUGGUGUUUGUUUUGUUUUGGUUGUGUUUCUUAGUCUUUGGGUGGGGGUUGGUGCCCACACACGUGUGGAUGUUAGAGUUCGCAUGUGUGUGGAUGGUACGGGAUGACCUUAGGUGUUGGUCCUUGCCUUCCAACUUGUUUUUGAGGCAGGGCUUUUGUUGUUUUUUUUGGGUUUUGUUUUGUUUUGGGCAAGUUCUUCUUAUGUAGCCUAAGAUAGUCUCAUAUUGACAACUCUACUGCCUCAGCCUCCCUAGUGCUGAGAUUGCAGGCAUAUAUCACAGAGCCCAGUGUUAAUGUUGGGUUUUAAUUAAACCUCAACCUGUGGAGGUCAGUGCUGUCCUGCUAAUGAGCUUUAGCCUGCCAGAUCUUUACCUUUUUAUGGUUCUCAUUCUAGCUGCAUAAUUAGCCUUAGUGCCAUCUAAAAUUACUAGCAGUACUAUUUAUAUAUAGUAAGAAGAGCAAUUAAACAAAAUGUCUGCAAAGUAGGAUCUUUUUUGAGACAGGGUCUCCCUGGCUUGGGAACUCACUGUGUAGAACCUCACUGUAUAGAACCAGCUGGCUUUGAACUCAGACAUCCGCCUGCCUCUCUGGGAUUAAAGGCGUGCACCACCAAGCCUGGCCCCCAAAUACUCUGUUUUUAUGUUUGUUUGCUUUGUUUUGUUUUUAAGUUGUCCAAGCUAUUUUAGGAUUGAGAACAUUGAGCCAAACAAAAUUCCAAAAUGGAAUUGGGUAGCUGAUCUCAUAUGCCAAGCAGUGACUUCUUCC